CAUUAAGCCUCUUUAACUGGAACCCGUAGAUCCGAACUUGUGCGCUAUUGUCGUUGGGGACUCCGUCCAAUCGCGCGUAACGAUAGCGACUAUUCAAUGGCAACAAUAUCGAUUCUAAAAGUUGCCGGCAAUCAAAACCAAA